UUAGCGUUCUCUCAAAAGAUUGCU
rnacentral:siRNA from 1 species